CUGGUGACCCUGGAGAGAAGGGCCCAAUCGGACUACCUGGACAGAGAGGCAUGCCUGGCGUGGAUGGCAGAGAUGCCUAUGGUCCUGAAGGAAGCAAAGGAGCAAAGGGAGAAUCUGGAUUCUUAGGAUAUCCUGGUCCAGAGGGAGAAGAGGGAGACCCAGGCAUUCCAGGAGCUGAAGGACCCAAAGGAACUAGGGGUAGAAGAGGUAAUGCUGGCACACCAGGUUCCCUGGGAGAUCCAGGAGAUCAAGGGCCAUCAGGACCUAUGGUAAUAUAUUUUUAUUUUUAAAAAAAAUCACUCUUAGGUUGAUCUUAGACUUACUAGUAGAAUAAUGGAAUAUUUUAUUAUGUUUCAUAUGCUUAGUUGCCUGG
rnacentral:lncRNA from 1 species